UAUCCAGACUCCUACGGGAGGCAGCAGUCGGGAAUAUUGCGCAAUGGAGGAAACUCUGACGCAGUGACGCCGCGUAUAGGAAGAAGGUUUUCGGAUUGUAAACUAUUGUCGUGAGGGAAGAAAUUGACAGUACCUCAGGAGGAAGCUCCGGCUAACUAUGUGCCAGCAGCCGCGGUAAUACGUAGGGAGCGAGCGUUGUCCGGAUUUACUGGGUGUAAAGGGUGCGUAGGCGGGUAAGCAAGUCAGAAGUGAAAUCCAUGGGCUUAACCCAUGAACUGCUUUUGAAACUGUUUAUCUUGAGUGAAGUAGAGGUAGGCGGAAUUCCCGGUGUAGCGGUGAAAUGCGUAGAGAUCGGGAGGGACACCAGUGGCGAAGGCGGCCUACUGGGCUUUAACUGACGCUGAAGCACGAAAGCGUGGGUAGCAAACAGGAUUAGAUACCCGCGUACC
rnacentral:rRNA from 1 species